UCAGUAAAAAUAGCGUCUAAGCAAAUUUUUAAAAGAUCCCCUUAUCCCUAAUUACCUCCAGCAAACUAAAAAGAACAACUCUAUACAAAUAGAGGCUCUUAUGCUAAAACUAAUAAUACGGGUUCAUCCCUUCUAGCACAUUUUUUUCUCAUGGUUUGACAAUUAACAGACCACAGAAGGUAAGGAUAACACUCUUCACUAUUCUAACCCCACUGUAAGUCCGACUCUGGUGUGCAAAAUUAAGGUUAAAAGUCUUAGAAGGAACUCGGCAAACACGAACCCCAACUGUUUACCAAAAACAUAGCCUUUAGCCAUACAAGUAUUAAAGGUGCUGCCUGCCCAGUGAAUUUUUUUAACGGCCGCGGUAUCCUGACCGUGCAAAGGUAGCGAAAUCAUUUGUCUACUAAUUAUAGACCCGUAUGAAGGGCCACAUGAGGGUUUAACUGUCUCCUAAGACUAACCUAUAGGACUGAUCCCCUAGUUCAAAAGCUAGGAUUAGACUAUAAGACGAGAAGACCCUGUGCAAGCUUAAAAAAUCUUAUUAAAGAAUUAAUGAGUAUUUUUAGUUGGGGCAACUUUGGAAAACAGACUAACCUCCAAACAACCUAAAAGACUGACAGGUCAAUAAAGACCCAGUAUAACUGAAAAAUGGACCAAGUUACUCCAGGGGAUAACAGCGCAAUCUUCUUCAAGAGCUCCUAUCUAAAAGAAGGUUUACGACCUCGAUGUUGGAUCAGGACACCCAAACGGAGCAGCAGCUGUUAAAGGUUCGUUUGUUCNACGAUUAGAG
rnacentral:rRNA from 1 species